rnacentral:rRNA from 1 species
CUACGGGCGGCUGCAGUGAGGAAUAUUGCACAAUGGGGGGAACCCUGAUGCAGCAACGCCGCGUGGAGGAUGACGCGUUUCGGUGUGUAAACUCCUUUUAUAUGUCAAGAAAAUGACGGUAGCAUAUGAAUAAGCACCGGCUAACUCCGUGCCAGCAGCCGCGGUAAUACGGAGGGUGCAAGCGUUACUCGGAAUCACUGGGCGUAAAGGACGCGUAGGCGGGUUGGAAAGUCAGGUGUGAAAUCCUACAGCUUAACUGUAGAACUGCACUUGAAACUUCUAAUCUAGAGUAUGGGAGGGGGAGAUGGAAUUAGUGGUGUAGGGGUAAAAUCCGUAGAUAUCACUAGGAAUACCUAAAGCGAAGGCGAUCUCCUGGAACAUUACUGACGCUAAGGCGUGAAAGCGUGGGGAGCAAAUAGGAUUAGAUACCCCCGUAGUC